rnacentral:snRNA from 1 species
GUGCUCACUUCAGCAGCACAUAUACUAAAAUUGGAACAAUACAGAGAAGAUUACAUGGCCCUUGCACAAGGAUGACAUGUAAAUUCACAAAACAUUCCACCGAAAG